AUGAUAAAGGUUGAGAGGAUCUUAAAAAAAAACAUGCUGAGAGCAGGCCAGCAUUGCUUUUAUGCAGCUGAGCAUAAAUUGCAAACAACAACGAGAAAGGGGCGCCUCUCACAUGGCACCGCCCCAACUUUCACUCAGGCGGCGCCACCGGGUGGCGCCCCAACCACUAGUGCCCAAUAUGACAUACCAGACGGAACUUCUAUCCGAGGGAGAGGGGAUCCACCUGCAGAAGCCCCGGCAGGCCCGGGACGAGCACUCAAGACGCUGUGUCCAUGGUAUAAAGAUGUGAUGCAGACAACCUAUGCUUCAUCAUCAAUGCAGCACAGACGCACUCAGGCACCAGCCGAAAUGGGUGACUGA
rnacentral:rRNA from 1 species